UGACUCCUUCUCUAUCGCGGGGUGGCGGUGGGGUGUACUAUCACUUGUUCGGACACUCAAGUUAAUCAAGAGAUUAAGAGAGUCUGACUAAUAGUAAAAUAAGAAGUGUAAAACUUGAUCCAAUGCUAAGCAUGAGUAGAUAUAGUGGGUAAGUUGCGUUUUGGUUGUCAAGUCUUCAUUUGGACAGUUGUUUCUGAAGGACUAGUGUGACCAUCUGGGUGGUCUUUCGACACUAGAUCUGGAUUGGACGAUCAAUAUUGGUUCGGAAUAUAUACAUAAAAUUU
rnacentral:lncRNA from 1 species